UACGGAGGGGGCUAGCGUUGUUCGGAAUUACUGGGCGUAAAGCGCACGUAGGCGGUCUUGUAAGUGUGAGGUGAAAUCUCCAGGGCUCAACCCGGAAACUGCUUUGCAUACUGCAGGACUAGAGGGAUGCAGAGGUUUGUGGAAUUCCUGGUGUAGCGGUGAAAUGCGUUGAUAUCAGGAGGAACACCCAUGGCGAAGGCAGCAAACUGGGCAUCAUCUGACGCUGAGGCGCGAAAGCGUGGGUAGCAAACAGG
rnacentral:rRNA from 1 species